rnacentral:rRNA from 1 species
UACGAAGGGGGCUAGCGUUGCUCGGAAUCACUGGGCGUAAAGGGUGCGUAGGCGGGUCUUUAAGUCAGGGGUGAAAUCCUGGAGCUCAACUCCAGAACUGCCUUUGAUACUGAAGAUCUUGAGUUCGGGAGAGGUGAGUGGAACUGCGAGUGUAGAGGUGAAAUUCGUAGAUAUUCGGAAGAACACCAGUGGCGAAGGCGACUUACUGGACACAUAUUGACGCUGAGGUGCGAAAGCGUGGGGAGCAAACAGGG